CCUCGGUAUAUGGGGCCAGCGCCUUACCGACUGAGCCAGAGGUGCCGCCCUAUGGCUCCAUUUAUUAACCACCCAUCUUUGAGCCUUGCAAUAUAAUAUUUUAAGUGGGAGGAGGAGGGUAAAAGCUAAGCACAGCAUGAUUCAUAACUUAAUGUGUCUCAAUACACCUGAGUUUGAUAUUUUUUCCUAUACAUUAUUUUGUUUAAUCCUCAUAGUGUCCGGUGAAGAAUGUUGUUACUGUUAUUACAUAUAUGAGGAAUAAAUGUCUGGAGAACACGUGUGUUCAAAAAAGGGAGACAAUUGGGUUCGACUGAGGUGGGCAGUAUUAGCAGACUUUUCCUUUGUCUUUUUUCAACAUUAUUUACUCAUAUAGUGGAUAUGUAAAGAAAAAAAAGAAUAAUGGGAAGAAAAGAAACAAGUGAUGCUGUUAGAAAAUAAAAGCUUAGCAACAUGAGGUAAAGCAAGGCCCCAGGAGAAAAAGAGACCGGCUUCCCAGCUUUCCCUCAGGAGUCGGGAAAUAUUGUUUGCUUAAUAAAACACUGCCAGAAAGGACCCACAUGUCUGAAGCAAAUCCCUGACCCUGCUGCCCUCAGUUUCUAUAUCUGUAAAAUGUCAUCAUUGAUUCUCAGAGCUCUACCAUGUCAAACACAUGCUAUGCUGGUAUUACGUAAGUGUUAGAUAAUAAGAUGGUAGAGAUGAGCUCGGCACUUAUAGCUCAGUGGCUAGGGGCUGGCUGAUUUGAACCUAGCCCAGGCCUGCCAAACAACAAUGACAACUACAAAAAAAAAAAAUAAACAAAUAGCCAGGUGUUGUGGCAGGCACCUGUAGUUCUAGCUACUUGGGAGGCUGAGGCAAGAGAAUCGCUUAAGCCCAAGAGUUUGAGGUUGCUGUGAGCUGUGAUGUCACAGCACUCUACCAAGGGUGACAUAGUGAGACUCUGUCUCAAAAAAAGAAUUGUUUUUUGAAAUUAAAAAAUAAAUAAAGAUGGUAGAGAUGAAAGUGAUCUCAGAGAUCAUCUACUCAAUACCUCACAUUGAACAAUAAAUAGCCUGCUAAUCAGUCAUUAUUAAUCUCUUUCUGGUUAUCCUAUGCUUGGCAAUAAACUCCGUUGGCCAAGAAAGCAACUUACUUUCUCUGAAAAAGAAAUUCUCCAACCUAGUGAUUAUAUUUGUAGAAAUGCUUCCCUUUGUUCAUAGUUCAAUGACCUUGCAAUAGAACCUGAGUCACCAAAUACUACUCAACUGUCACAGGGACAAAGUAUGGAACUCAACAGGUUGGAGGGCUGGGCCCUUCUUUCAUAUAGGAGUAGCCCUGUCCCUGACCCAGCUUUGGCCAAGCCUUGAGAGCUGUGAGCAGGAGUGAUGGUUAGGAAGUUCUUCUUGGAACAAACUUAAUGUUUACUAGGCUGUAAUGUAAACCCAUUCAUUCAUCAUUCAUUCACCUACUCUAAAGCAUUUAUUAAAAACAUAUUAUUUGCUAAGCACCUAUGGGAUCAUAAGAACACUUAAACAAAUAGGACCCAGACUCUAGGAGCUGGUAGUGUCAACACUAUUACAUGCAGUGGAGCACUGUGGGGGCCAAGUGAAAGUAGGAAAUGGCUGAUUUUCUUUGGAUGAGGUUCAAGGAAUCAGAAAAAUGUCAUAGAGGAGGUGAUACUUGAGCUGAGCUUUGAGAAAUAAAGGUUAUUUUCUGGACAUGGAGACAUGGUGGGAGGGAUACAAGGACAUGGCAUUCAGAUAGAGCACGGUGUUUUAGGGAAAGAGAAGUUUUUGGCUUGUAUAGCAUACAGACGCCACCAUCAAAGACAAGAUUGAUUAAUGGAAACAUUAUGCAACAAGGGAGAAUUUUGAUUUUCUUGCUAUAGUUCAUGGGAACCCCUGAUAAGUAGAAAGCAGGGAAGUGACAUGAUCCUAACUGCAUUUCAGAAAGAUGGUUCUGAUGGAAAUAUAGAAGAUAGUUUGGAGGAUGGGGGGGAAGGAACAAGACUCAAGGCAAAGAGACUUUAGGAGACUACAGGAAUUUAGGUAAGAGAAGGCAGCCGAUCCAGUCUCUUCAACAAGUCCAUGAGAAGGAUAAAAAGGAGGGUUCUAUUUUAGUUUCUAAGAAACGUCAACUACAUUCAAAGAGACAUAAACUUCAUGCAAUGCAAUGUUCUGGACCCUGGAUCCUGAAAACAGACAAAUUGUAAAGAGAAAAUUUGGGAGAGAGAGUAUUAGACAAUACUAAGAAAUUACUGUUAAUUUUGUUCAGUAUGAUAAUGCUAU